GUGCACGCUGGCGGUAGGCCUAACACAUGCACGUCGAACGGCAGCACAGUAAGAGCUUGCUCUUACGGGUGGCGAGUGGCGGACGGGUGAGGAAUACAUCGGAAUCUACUUUUUCGUGGGGGAUAAUGUAGGGAAACUUACGCUAAUACCGCAUACGACCUACGGGUGAAAGCAGGGGAUCUUCGGACCUUGCGCGAUUGAAUGAGCCGAUGUCGGAUUAGCUAGUUGGCGGGGUAAAGGCCCACCAAGGCGACGAUCCGUAGCUGGUCUGAGAGGAUGAUCAGCCACACUGGAACUGAGACACGGUCCAGACUCCUACGGGAGGCGGCAGUGGGGAAUAUUGGACAAUGGGCGCAAGCCUGAUCCAGCCAUACCGCGUGGGUGAAGAAGGCCUUCGGGUUGUAAAGCCCUUUUGUUGGGAAAGAAAAGCAGCAGGUUAAUACCCCGCUGUUCUGACGGUACCCAAAGAAUAAGCACCGGCUAACUUCGUG
rnacentral:rRNA from 1 species